rnacentral:rRNA from 1 species
GACGAACGCUGGCGGCGUGCCUAAUACAUGCAAGUCGAACGCAUUUUCUUUCACCGUAGCUUGCUACACCGAAAGAAAAUGAGUGGCGAACGGGUGAGUAACACGUGGGUAACCUGCCCAUCAGCGGGGGAUAACACUUGGAAACAGGUGCUAAUACCGCAUAAUUCCAUUUACUGCAUUGUAGAUGGAUGAAAGGCGCUUUUGCGUCACUGAUGGAUGGACCCGCGGUGCAUUAGCUAGUUGGUGGGGUAACGGCCUACCAAGGCUGCGAUGCAUAGCCGACCUGAGAGGGUGAUCGGCCACACUGGGACUGAGACACGGCCCAGACGCCUACGGGAGGCAGCAGUAGGGAAUCUUCGGCAAUGGAAGCAAGUCUGACCGAGCAACGCCGCGUGAGUGAAGAAGGUUUUCGGAUCGUAAAACUCUGUUGUUAGAAAAGAACAAGGAUGAGAGUGGAAAGUUCAUCCCUUGACGGUAUCUAACCAGAAAGCCACGGCUAACUACGUG